UACGUAGGGGGCUAGCGUUGUCCGGAUUUAUUGGGCGUAAAGAGCGUGUAGGCGGCUUGGUAGGUCUUGCGUCAAAACCUGAGGCUCAACCUCAGUUCGCGUGGGAAACCACCUAGCUAGAGUCCGGAAGAGGAGAACGGAAUUCCCAGUGUAGCGGUGAAAUGCGCAGAUAUCGGGAGGAACACCAAUGGCGAAGGCAGCUCGCUGGGACGUUACUGACGCUGAGACGCGAAAGCGUGGGGAGCAAACAGGG
rnacentral:rRNA from 1 species